GACGAACGCUGGCGGCGUGCUUAACACAUGCAAGUCGAACGGACAGGCCCCUUUCGGGGUCCUCGAGUGGCGAACGGGUGCGUAACACGUGCGUAACCUUCCCUUGCCUUCGGGAUAACUUCAGGUUACUGGGGCUAAUACCGGUUCCGAAUCCUUGCUUCAUCGUGGGGGUUCGAAAGCUUCGGCGGUUUUUGAUUGACUCGCUGCUUAUCAGCUUGUUGGUGGGGUAGUGGCUUACCAAGGCUUUGACGGGUAGCCGGCCUGAGAGGGCGACCGGCCACAGUGGGACUGAGGGACGGCCCAGACAGCGACGGGAGGCAGCAGGGGGGAAGAUUGCACGAGGGGCGGAAGGCGGAUGCAGAAACGCCGCGGGCGGGAUGACGGCCUUCGGGUUGUAAACCGCUUGCAGCAGGAGCGAAGCUUGUGGUGACGGUACCUACAGAAGAAGCAACGGCUAACUACGUG
rnacentral:rRNA from 1 species